UUUUAAACAAACAACAUGUCCCAUUUUGCAUUCAUAAAAGGGUCUGAGAUACAAGCAUGAAGGAAAUAAUUCUCAGCAUGAACAAUAUUAACAUCGCACCCUUCUUUCCAUGAUAAGGCUAAACCCCCUGCUAUCCCUCUAGGACUAACACAAAAAACAUCGUUGAAACCACACUUUCUGAGUUUCUUUUUGACAAAAACAUCAUUAUUUUUGCUCUCCAUCAAGAAGACGAUAUUUGGGGAAUGGGAUUGACAAAACCCUUUGAUAUGAUGGAACAUCAGGGGGUUUCCCCAAACCCUGACAGUUCCAGCUUAUAAGCCUCAUUGGUGACUCUGGGGCCAUUUUGUGCUGGCCUCCCCCACCACUUCAGUAUCUGUGAGGUUGUUGCAAGACUUCUUGUUUGCUUCAAAGCGUUCUUCUUCUCCUCUGCUCCUUUUUUCGUAGGACGCGCGCCAAGGUUCUCUACUGAUCCUCCCUUUUCUGCUUUAACCUCCUUUUGUAUUUCCUGAACGAAAUAAUAAAUUUUGCAUUUGUCAUCACAUGGCGUAUGCCCAAGCCCGGAACCCACAAGCUUCUUGCCGGGUAAACCCUCAUUUAGAUAGAAACAGAUUAGAAAACGAAGCAUAUAAUGGGGACUUCUAUUGUUGUUAG
rnacentral:misc_RNA from 1 species